CUCGGCGCCAUUUUAAGUUAGACUUAAUCGAAAGUCGUCACAAUAUUUGUUGCUCUUUUUUACAGUUGAUCCUCAGUGUGGUAAACAUUGUAUUUUUAUGCAUACUACGUAACAUUCAUUACAUUACCUCUACAAGGUUUGACCGGCACUCUGUAACUAGGCCCGGCACAUUCGCCACAAGGACUACCGGAAGUAUCACUACCGGAACCUUGUCGACUCGAACGAAGUUUGCUCUCUGCUUCAGCGAUGCUCGGGAAGUAUCUUUGUUUAUGCCACCUAGGAGUUUUGGACCUGUACGUGAAAGCAAUACCAGAAGGAGGAACCAAAGAGAGAGAAAGAAGAGCCAGAAAAAAGAGAAAAAGAUAGACAAAGACGAAGAGGAAGAUGAAGACGAAGCCGUAUAUGAAGACGAAAACGAAGAUGAAGAAGAGAAAGAAAAAGAAAAAGAAAAAGAAAAAGAAGAAAAAGAAGAAGAAGGAAAAGGAGAAGGCGAAAGAGAAGAAGAAGGAGGAGAAGAAGGAGAAGAAGAAGGAGGAAGUGUGGGAUUGAUUACCUUUCAAAAUCUACGCUGGAUCUUUCAUAAUCGAUAGUAUUGAUGUCCUCAUUCUCGAGAUGACCAAACGUUUUAAAUUGCAUCGUAUAAUCUAAUGUUGCCGUUGUCACAGAACGAUUUUCUCUUCCUGGUACACUGAACGUUGCGUAUGGGCUGAUUUCAUACAUUUCUGCGAAUAAAAUAUUGCAUGUUAUCUCAUAAAAAAAAAAUCAUUUCUUUUAAGUAAAGAAAUAAAAAAAUAUUGAAAGAAAUUUGAUUAGAGUCAGAAUAUCAUUUAGUCAAUGAGAUCGUACCUGAUCCAUGAUCAUUCGAUUUGUGAUUUUCUUGUUUAACCGGUGAACUCGUAUAUACUUGAUGAUUACGUCUGUUGUCUCGUUCUGCCGUAGACUUUAGUUGCACCGUAGACAUACAGCUUGAUAGAUGGUGAUGUUGUUGUUGUUGCACCAAACCAAGUCCAGUUUGUUGCUGUUGUUGUUGACCAGGCAGAAUCUCCCCCAGAUAAUUGGACCUAGAGAAGCAUAGAGUUUAUUUAUUUUUGUAAUUAUUCUUUCUGCGAAAGAUAUAUGGUUUUAUUGGUAUUCACCUGCCGCUACGUUUGAGCAUGACAUAUCCUAGGAUGAUAGCUGAUAUGAUGAGGAUGAUAGCACAGACUAAUGGUACGACGACAUAGAGUACUUUGUGGUUUGGUAUACUCUUCUUUACAUCGUCUUCCAUGAUCAGAUCAUUUGGUGGUCCAAUACUUACUCCACUUAACGUAGUCGUCGCAAAUUCCAUUUGAGUUUGCGUAGAUCCGGCAUCGUUAUGUGCAGUUAAACGCAAGCUAUACCAUGAGGCAGUUUUUAAAUCUCUUAUUACAAGAUUUUCGGUAGCCCUACUAGCUACUAGGAUCCAUAAUUCGGUAUUAAUACGUCUACGAUAUUCAACAGUGUAGUAUUGAAUCGGACAUCCUCCGGUUGGCCAGGAUAAUAAGUUUAGUUUUACGGAAGUUCCAUUCGCUGAUAUGAUAUCUCGUUCUUUCGGUAACAAAGGAGCUAAAAUGACGUUAAGUGAUGAAGAAUAUGUAAAAUUUGUUGUAUUUCUUAUAAAAUACAAUUUUGUACCAGUUCCUUUAGUUGUUGCACUUAUCAAUGAACUUGGAUCUCCAGUGCCAACACGAUUAUGAGCAGUUAGAUGAGCCAGAUAUGAUGAUCCACAUUUUAAGCCGGUUAAUAUGAACUCGGUUUGUUCCGGAGAUAAUGCGAUUUCUUCCCAACCACCUUGAUCUCUCUUAUAACUUAACACAUAUCCUAUGAAUGACGAAUAUAUGUUUUAUUUGAUUUCUUUUAUUUGAUAUUUUUAAAGCGUUUAUUUUUUUUUUUUAAACGAUACCUUGAAUAGUAGCACCACCAUUGUCAGGAUGAUUCCAUCGAAGUCUUAUGCUAUUUGUUGUUGUAUACUGAAGUUCCAAGGUUGGUGAUCUCGGUGGCAUGACCACUACUAAUGUGUAAGUUAUAGAAUCUUCACCAAAUUGAUUAUUAGCAGAGCAAGAAUAAUUUCCAGCUACAGAUUGUUCUAGCGCUAAAAUGCGAAAUAAUUAAUGUCGUUUUUUACGAUUUGUUGAUUUUAAACUUGUCAAUUAGUAUUUUAAUAACGGACCACAUAUAUGGAGAUGACCAUCAGGCGUAUAUUCGUAGUGCCUGCCAGUUGAUACUUGACCAUUUCUGUAAGUCCAAAUUGGGCGUGGUGUAGGAUUGCCAACAACCAAACAAGAUAACGUGAUUGAUGAUUUGACAGCCCUUCUUAAGAGUUGCGAAAACGAAGCUACUCUUGCAGGUGCUCUGGUAUUUGUCGUUUGCGUUACUAUAGUAGUUGCUUCCCCUUCUCCAAGGCCAGUUGUUGCGGAUACCCAGAAUUCGUACAGCUGUCUAAAAUGUAUCAAACAUUAUACGG